UACGUAGGUGGCAAGCGUUGUCCGGAUUUACUGGGCGUAAAGAGCGCGCAGGCGGUCGUUCAAGUCGCGUGUGAAAGCCCCCGGCUCAACUGGGGAGGGUCACGCGAUACUGAUCGACUCGAAGGCAGGAGAGGGUAGUGGAAUUCCCGGUGUAGUGGUGAAAUGCGUAGAUAUCGGGAGGAACACCAGUGGCGAAGGCGACUACCUGGCCUGUUUCUUGACACUGAGGCACGAAAGCGUGGGGAGCAAACAGG
rnacentral:rRNA from 1 species